rnacentral:rRNA from 1 species
GCUGGCGGCGUGCCUAACACAUGCAGGUCGAACGAGAAAGUCCCCUUCGGGGGACAAGUAAAGUGGCAAACGGGUGAGUAAUACGUGGGCAACCUGCCCUCGAGUCUGGGAUAACUCGGGGAAACCCGGGCUAAUACCGGAUACGGCCGCGAAACCCUCGGGCUUUGCGGAGAAAGAUGGCCUCUCCUUGGAAGCUAUCGCUCUUGGAUGGGCCCGCGUCCCAUUAGCUUGUUGGUGAGGUAACGGCUCACCAAGGCUCUGAUGGGUAGCUGGUCUGAGAGGAUGAUCAGCCACACUGGAACUGAGACACGGUCCAGACUCCUACGGGAGGCAGCAGUGGGGAAUUUUGGGCAAUGGGCGAAAGCCUGACCCAGCAACGCCGCGUGAGGGAUGAAGGCCCUCGGGUCGUAAACCUCUGUCAGAGGGAACGAACUGGUCUCGGUUAAUACCCGGGACAGCUGACGGUACCCCCAAAGGAAGCGCCGGCUAACUCCGUGCCAGCAGCCGCGGUAAUACGGAGGGCGCAAGCGUUGUUCGGAAUUACUGGGCGUAAAGAGCGUGUAGGCGGUUCGGAAAGUCGGAUGU